rnacentral:rRNA from 1 species
GAUGAACGCUGGCGGCGUGCCUAAUACAUGCAAGUCGAGCGAACGGGCGAGAAGCUUGCUUCUCUGAUGUUAGCGGCGGACGGGUGAGUAACACGUGGAUAACCUACCUAUAAGACUGGGAUAACUUCGGGAAACCGGAGCUAAUACCGGAUGAUAUUUUGAACCGCAUGGUUCAAAAGUGAAAGACGGUCUUGCUGUCACUUAUAGAUGGAUCCGCGCUGCAUUAGCUAGUUGGUAAGGUAACGGCUUACCAAGGCAACGAUGCAUAGCCGACCUGAGAGGGUGUUCGGCCACACUGGAACUGAGACACGGUCCAGACUCCUACGGGAGGCAGCAGUAGGGAAUCUUCCGCAAUGGGCGAAAGCCUGACGGAGCAACGCCGCGUGAGUGAUGAAGGUCUUCGGAUCGUAAAACUCUGUUAUUAGGGAAGAACAUAUGUGUAAGUAACUGUGCACAUCUUGACGGUACCUAAUCAGAAAGCCACGGCUAACUACGUG